ACAAACAUUUGUUAAGUUCCGUGGGGUGUUUGGCUGUGCUUCGGCCCUUGGAGUUCGAAACUUCUGAGCUCCCCGCCGUCGUACCUGUGCCGGCCAAGGGGCGGGGCAGGCUUUCCGGCUGUCGGGGCCCUCCAGUCCCUCAGGAAGCCGUCCUGGGACGCCUAGCGGACACCAUUUUACGUCGCUGUGGUAGCUGAGUGAACAGCCGGGGGGAGCCCCGCCCCCCGCGCGCGGGAGAGCGCCGCCCGCGGUCACCUGGGCCCGCGGGGCAGAGAGUUCACGGUUCCUGCAGCCUCGGGUCAUGCUGACGCCCCCGGGCGGUGCUAACACGUAACACGCGGGACCUCGAGAGCUAAGAAGCAGGGCGACUAAGACGCAGCCCUCGCCCAGGAGCCCGUCUCUCCCGCGAGCUACCCGUUCCCGCCCAAGUACUCCGGGUAACCGAGGGGAGUGACCGUCGCUCCCCGCCUCGUGGCCCGCGGGCGGAGCCGGAACUGUCGGGACACCGCGGACGUGUCUUUGGGCGGCAUGCUCCAUGCAGAUAUGUCACUUGUUUUUCCCCCUGUGGCUUCUUGUAUCCCUUGGCACUCUUAUUGUGUGUUAAAAGCCAGCAGCACAGGCACCUUGCGGCCGCUCCAGAUCCACCUCGUUUGGCUCCUUCAGUCGUUCGCCGUACAACUUUCCUUUCCAUAGUGCGUUACUGUGGCGGACAGAGCACCUGUGAGAGGUGCAGGCGAUGCCGAGCUUAGGGGGGUAUGGCCUGUGCCCCAGCACUCGCCGGUUGCUGGAGGGACGCAGCGCUGAGGUCACCACAGCCUUUAGACUGUCUGCAGCCCUCCCAGGUUCGCGCCGGGGCGGAGGUUAUGAGGAUUCUUGUAUUGAUCCGGUCCUCAACCCUAUUUCCCAAGAUCCAAUCUAUAGUAGAGGGUGUGAGGUGUUUUUAAACGUGACAUUUUUCAAGGUAACAAUAAUAUCCCAAAAGCUGAAACCUAAACUUAAAAACUGUGUUAAGAUUAGGGACUGUAACCUAAAUUUAGCCUUGGCUGAGCCAUCCUUCUUUUUGUAAAUAAUCGUGAGGAAUGUGAAGCUGGAGGCCUUCUAUCUCUUGAUUAGAUCAAAGAAACUCGAAGGAAGAAGCUCAAUUGUAAAGCAUAAAAAUCCACAAUAUUGUAAUGUGUAGACAUCUUCAUUGUAUUAAAAUGGGAAAUAAAACUUCAUAAGGCAUAAAAUAA
rnacentral:lncRNA from 1 species